AUCGCUUCUCGGCCUUUUGGCUAAGAUCAAGUGUAGUAUCUGUUCUUAUCAGUUUGCACUUGUUUCUCGGCCGUGGCUAAGACUGCGAUCGUCUCCUUCGGGUGCUUGGUCUACUAAAAGAAUCAAGAAACUACUUCGGGUUUCCCUUCACUUUGAAGGUAAGUUUUUUUACUGUUUGCCUUUUUUUGAAAAUAUUC
ensembl:snRNA U2 U2 spliceosomal RNA